rnacentral:rRNA from 1 species
AAUGUAGGUGGUUACGUAAGUUAGAUGUGAAAGCCCUGGGCUUAACCUGGGAACUGCAUUUAAUACUGCGUGACUAGAGUGCGAUAGAGGAGAGCGGAAUUCCUAGUGUAGGAGUGAAAUCCGUAGAUAUUAGGAGGAAUACCGAUGGCGAAGGCAGCUCUCUGGCUCGUAACUGACACUGAGAUUGAAAGCGUGGGUAGCAAACA